GUAGUACUAGGAUGGGUGACCUCCUGGGAAGUCCUCGUGUUGCACCCCU
rnacentral:rRNA from 5 species